AAUGGCUCAUAAUCCUUUAAUGUUUAACGCUGCAAGCCACGAGUUAAUCAACUAAUCCAUCCAUGGCUAACCCACCCCGCCGUUCGCAAAAAGAAACCGCUGCGCAAUGUGCGCACCACGCCCGCACGACUUCCGCCCGCUCGCCCCGCCAAAAGAAAAAAAAAAGGACUUCCGUCCGCUCCUCCUCAUCCAUGCCCGCACACCAGUCGUUCCCCACAGCACGGGCGGGCCGCCCAUCCUCCCGCCGCCUCCUGCCGUUCGCCGCUCGCAUCAUCCUCCUCUCAGCUUGGCCUCCCCCAUCCUCGCGUCGUUCGCUAGCCGCCCUCCCGCCGUAUGCCGUUCGCUAGAGAUGCGGGCGGACGGUUGGGCUGGCGAGCGGUGGUAGGUUCGUCACGCGACAGGUCGCCUGGGAUGCUAGCCGAUGGAUGCGGGUCAAGCCGACUCGGGCGGCGGCGCAUCUUCGGUAGAGGAGAGGGGAAAAGAAGGAGAGUCCUGGGGGCGGCUGAGGAGGUGCUCGCCGGCGAGCGGGCUCCGACGGCCGCCUGGCGCGCGGGGUUGGAUGGGGGCGUUUCCCGGCAGUCACGGCCGUCCUCGCGACACCAACUAGCCGAAAGCAUCGCCGCUCCCCGCCGCCCGCCGACGCGACGUCGCCUGCCCCUCCUACCCAUGCGACAAUGUUGCUCCUCGGCUCCUCCCCGCGCGACACCGCCUUCCCCAAGAGCGCCCACCCUGUCGUCCUCCUACUCCUCAGUGCCUCCUUCUCGCCUGCCCGCAACACCUUGCCUUGCAGCGGCGCCUGACACACGCACGACCCACACUAGAGCACGCCGCCCCUCGCUGCCCGGUUUUCUUCUUUUCCGUCGCACUGUGCGAAAUCUGCCCCAUGCUCGGUCUGGAUCUAAAUAAGCGGUUGAGAGAGAGAGAGAGAGAGCACAGCGAAGACGCACACACUGUGGAUUGUGGAAGAGGAAGAGAACAUGCUGUUGGAUCCGAGCACCUGUCGGAGGAGCAUAGGCAUAAGGAGGCAUCCAUGAGACAAGUUUUUUUAAUUCGUAUUUCUAUGUCUGCAUGAUGACAUUAGUUAACUGGUAAUAGUAAGUCACUGCCAUACAUCACUGAUGAAACAGUUGUUUUUUCCCAUUUAGCAAAGAAAUUAUGAUCUGUUCCUCUACCAAUAAUUGUAAAUUAGUCAUGACACCCAGUCUAGCACCUGUCAUGUUGUUUGAUUUGUCUCUCUAUAUAUAUGUUCUCAUGAGUGGUCAUAGUUUUACAUGACGAUUUCCAGAAUAUGAAUACAUUGAAAGUUAAUUUGAUUUUCAUAAAUGUGUCCAAUUUUGGUUGUAUAAAUCAAUUUUUAAUUUGGCAUCCCAUUCCAUGCCAAGAAUCAAAUGACAAGCUGAAUUUGUUCCUAUGUAACUGGGGUUCAGUAGCUUCCCUCUCCUGAAUUAUUCUUGUUGUAAUUUCAUGGUUAUGCAAUUAUCAAUCUUCUCUUACUCAUUUCACGUGUCCAUAGUUAGCCAGGCAACUGAAGGUGGGUCAUGUAUUUUAGCACAGGUUCGAUGUGGCGAUUGUUAACUUGUUCCAACUGUGAAAAAUGGUAGUUGUUGCCGGAUGAAUUUCUGGUCUCGCACCUCCUUAUUUUUGGUCUUGCACCAUGGACGGCCUGAACGGCGCUGACGCGUGCUUCUCCGGAGGAGGGCCAUGUGACGGCCAGACCGGCAGACAUAGCCAGGAUAUGUGGUACAAGGGAUUCGAGGCAAAUUGAGGAAGGAGCUGGAGCAGGUGGUGGAUUAAGGAAAGAGCUGGAGCAGAGACGGAUUAGAGCUGCUUAAGUGCAGAUUUUUAGACUAGCCUGCUUGAGUACAUGUUCUUAGAUUGCAUAUGGAAGGGAACUUACGUGCAUGUUGUUUGGAUUGCAGGAUGGAAGGGAACUUAAGUGCAUGUUUUCGGAUUGUACAUGAACUAAGUUCCUGCUGAAAAAUGGUGACUGCAUUUAGAGCUGGCAUUGGUGCUUGGUCAGACAUGGUGUCUUUGUAACUACACUAAGUUCCCUGGUUCUUGCUUAAAAAUGUUUACAAGAUAACAUUUCUAAACAUGAUCUAGAAGCCCUCAAACCAGAUCAAGCUCGGUACAUUGGAAUAAAAAGAAUGACAAGGCAGUUAGAAGUUCAGAAUUCUAUAUAGGAUAUAUAUACUUGGUUGUACCAUAUUUAGCUGAACUAAAGUAGAUGCUCUAACUGUGUUCACAUGAUUUUGAACAGGCCCAUGGAGAGAAGCCCUAAUGUACACCCAAGGUUCAGGGAGGUGAUCCAGGUUUUCAAGAAGGAGGGUGAGUGGAUUAGUCGCCGAUUAGUGCCUUCAUUGUUGUUGAAUAAACUGGCUUCAGCUCUGAUGCAUGUGAACUGUGAGGUGUUUUUGGUAUGGGAAUGAUGAGGUUCUGAUGGUCUAUACCUGAUUGCAAGGUUUGGGUAUGAAUUAAAUUUGCGUCCAAACUUGGCAAUUAUCUUCUAUGAAUUUAGGCAUUGUUCACAUGUCAUUUGAGUCAAACAGAAAUAUGCUUCUGAAAUGCUCCAAUUUGCUGCUUUUCACAUUUAGAGAAGGUUGUUUUAUUUCGUAUUCAUCAGGUUAUGCUAAAGCAGAAGGCAUUGUGCUGACAUUUUUUAAGCCUUACUUGAUUUUGAUAUGUGGUUAGCCGUUUGCCCUUGCACCAAAAACAAACACUAUUCCUAUGUCUUACUUAGAAGCAAAGGUGCAUUAAUUAUUAACUGGUUUGAUAUAUGUUCCAUGGUGGGUGGCAUAGAAAACAAAGCUUCUUUCUAAGACAUGAUGUUCUGUUACUAGCAAAAAAGUGUUAGAAUUUAUAAGUACUUAUUCAAAGAAAAUAAAAACUGACUGGAGAACUGUUUGCUUCUACCAUUCCUUUCAAGUUAAGGCAAAAAUCAUAUUGGCAUGUAGCUUGUGCUCCUGCAGAGUUCUUUUUGUUUUGAUUUUUUGUAAUGUUAAAGGCAUAUCGAAUAAUGAAAUUGCAAUAGUUAUGAUCCCUAGGCCCGACAAAAAACUGACGAGAGUAUUAGGUGGUGGCAGGUAUCAGGCUACAACAGCUGAAUUGCAAGUCUUCUGAUGAGCUUUUGCGGCAAGGAGGAGCAAUCUUACAGUGCAAAAAUGAAGAAGGGGCAAUUCCUCUUCAUGGUGCUUGUGCUUGGGGGUAUGCAUUUUUUAUUUGCAUUGAACUUAUACUUCUUUGCCCCAAGGAGAAGGUUUCAUGCCCCAAGAAGUAGAAUACAUACAGAUAGGCACCCAUCGGGAUCAAGAAACCAAAGUCUGGGCCCUGUUAACUACUCCCUCCGUUCCAAAAUAGAUGACCCAACUUUGUACUAAAGUUAAUACAAAGUUGAGUCGUCUAUUUUGGAAUGGAGGGAGUACAAAGCAAGUCGAUGCCAGCAUACAUAUGAGAAACUGAUGGGCCUGUCAGAGCGAACCCCUGGUUGAAAUUUGUCAAAAGACUGGGCGGUAAACUGAGUGGUAGUCUUAGUAUCUUAAUACACAACUUGCGUACUAUGGGAAUUGUGUUUAUGUUGUUAUGGGAUUAUGGAGUUAUGAUCUAAAAAAAUUAUGGAGUUAUGAUCUAAAAAAGAACUAUGGAGUUGUGUGCAAAGAAAGGACAUUAUGUUUCUCAAAUUGCCCUUUGUAUCUCUAUGUUUUGCACUUUAUCAAAGGCGCAAUUAGUUGAGUUCUCAAGCCAAGUUUUUCCA